CUGUUGGGAUACCCAUUCAAAUGGGAGUUGAUUGAGGAUUUUUAACUUAGGAUUUAAUUAAUUUAAACCUAAGUUUUAUUUCUUUUUCUCCUUAUUUCUCUCCAGUCACGUCGAAUCUUCUCCUCAUCUCCUCCGCGAUCUUGCUUCUCCCGAUUCACGGUUGUCGGCGCACUCCUCCCUUCCAAAUCUGCCACCAUUGUCUCCGAGCCAUCCCUUACGCGGGUCGUCUCUAGCCAAAAGCAGGGAGUCACUGUCGCCUUUCUCAUUGCUCCGGUGUCAUCACCGAUGGGAAGGGGGGCUAUGAGGUCACUUCAUCACAGUCGAUUCCACCUCUUCAGCCGAUGCCCUAGUUGACGAUCCAUAAUCGACGGAGCGUGUUGGUUAUCUGCUGGAAGUCAUCGAUCGCGUUGGAUCUGCGCUCGACAUCGCCACCACUUCUCGAGCCCUAGAUUCGGUUCAUUGUCGCAACCUUCUUCUUGAUUUGAUUUCACCGUGGAUGUGGGUGAUCACCACCCAUUCUCUCCAGCCGAUCGCCGCAAAGCUUUGGAGACGUCUUGAGAGUUGAUCACCAACGCACCACUUCUAGCGACCACCCGAGUCAAUCGUGGCAAAUCUGCUCCCUUGGGCAUCUUUGUCCCUUUGCUGAUGCUAUGUCAGCAAAUCAAGCAAUAGUCGCUCUUCUUGUUGGUUGAUCCAUAGAAGGGAAACCCAUGCCACCACAAAUGGGGUUCUGUUCGAGUGCCACCUCCAAGGGGUGAGCAUUCAAGUGUGUUGUGGAUUUUUGUUGAAUCGAUCAUGGGUUUCAUAAGCGCAUCCUAUUGUUGGGGAUUCAGUGGGAGAAGAGGUGGUUGAUAUUGGAGGUAAAUUGUUAGUUAGAUGUUAUGAAUUAAGAAUUUGAGUUGAAUUCUUGGUUGUAGUUGUAUUAAUAUUAAAUUGGGAUGUUUGAAUAGAAAGGGGCAGCAGUUUUACCUACUCAAACUAGCAAUACCGAUAGUGAUUUUCUCCAGUUGUGAAGCAUCAGUUGAAGCUUUAUACUUGGGUGAGUUCGAAAGUUGAUUUCGUGUUUACAUUAGAUUGGAUUAGUGUGUUGAUUAGUGAGCUUUGGAUUGAUUAUGCUUGUAGUAAAUCCUAAUUGGAAGGGGAAAUGAUUGGGGAUGCUUAAUCUAUUUGGUUAUGGAUUAGAGAUCCAUUUGUGAGUUAAUUUCUCUAGUUAGGUUAAUUUGGAUGAUAGCAUGAUCAUUAUCAAGAUAUUAGAAGGAUUAAACCUAAUCUAGUGAGAGUUAUAUAUUGAGUUAAAUCUAACAAGAUUAAUGAAAUUGGUUAACUAUUAGAUUUAGGAUUAAUAAUUAAAAUAGAAUUAAUGUAUAGAUUCCUAAUCAGAUUAGGGUUCAGUUAACUAUUUGGUUCAUGAUGGAUUUAGCUAACUAGUUCAUACUUGAUUAGUUAUAUCAUACACUAUAAAGACGGGUAUUUCUUCCUUGGUCUCUAUAUAGUUCUUUGAAUUUAGUGCAUGGUUAUUAUUUGAUGGAUUAUGCUAUUUUAUCUUAAAUCGUGUUUGUUUGCUGUUUUUUCUGCUUGAUACUUAUGUUUGAUCUAUGAGGUGAUCUAAUUAUAUCAUAUACGGUCUCGACUCUUGAUAUUCAUACUCUAUUGUGUAAACACACGUAGAGUAUGUAUUGUAGGGAUGUUUGGUUGAUUGAGUUAAUAUGCUGAUUAUGCAUAUCUUUGUUGAUUGUACACAUGGUUGGUAUGUGUUGUAGGAGUCACGUAAUUGACUAUCCGUUUGCAUAUUGUGUUUGUACAUAUGUUUAGUGUUUGCUAUUGGAGGAUACAUGUUGAUUGGACCUAUAUUAUAUGUAUGUGUCUGGUUGUGAUAUUGAAGGUAUCAUGUUGAUUA